rnacentral:RNase_P_RNA from 1 species
GGCAGCUGAGUGAUUGCUUUUGUAUAAUUGUGAAAGAGGAAAGUCCGGGCUCCAUGGAAAUACAGCGCCGGGUAACUCCCGGCAGAGGUGACUCUAGGGAAAGUGCCACAGAAAAUAUACCGCUUGAAAAAGUAAGGGUGAAAUGGCGUGGUAAGAGCACACCGCUUCUUUGGUAACAAAGAAGGCAAGGUAAACCCCGCUGGGAGCAAAACCAAGUAGUGAUAACAUGCUUUUAGAAGCAACGUAAUUUCCAACGUGUUGUCUGGGUAGGUUGCAAGAGGUGUUUGGUAACAUUCAUCCUAGAUGGAUAAUCACUCUCGACAGAACCCGGCUUAUAGGCUGCCUGAU